CUUGGCAGCAGCGUAGAAGGACUUUGUCACUGCCUUCUAUCANGGAGAUGCGUGGGAUUGAAUCUGAGACAUUCAGCACAUAGCAGAUGAUCUGCCAUGACUUGUGUUAAGGGGAAUUUAAGACUUUGUGCACAAUCACAGCUGUGGAAAAGCCACCUUUUCGUGUUACCUCAGAGUGUGGGCAAAACAGCAAAACCCACCCACCUCUGAAAAGGGAGCCCUCUGGUGGUUGUUGGGAGUCACAUGAUGCAGACCAUUCAGUAAUGUAUGUUAGGACAGAAGGAUCUGCUGGCAAGGGGUCUUGUUGGGGAGGUCUCUCAUAUCAGAAACAGGAGAAUACAUAUUUAAAUAUGAAAAAUGUGGAUGGAGCAGGAGUCCCUAAAUUCAAACANCCACUUGCCAUGGAGACUCAUUGGGACCCCUUCAGCCGGUCACUGUCUCUCGACUUAACCUACUGGACAAGUUUUUCCAGUUGCAUGACCCCCAAUAAUCCUGAAUAGCACUGACAUUAAGGCUACCUGAACUCAUCAGUUUAGAGGAUUUCGUUGUACUGAUAUCCACCAUCAUUUAAUAUUACCAACAUUUGUUCUGAAAUAUCUGUUUACUAUUACUGAUCAAUCAAAUAAUGCUCUUUGCAAAGGAUUGGCUAACACUGCCUUCACUUGUUCANUAAAAGAGAUCUGUUAUCACGGACAAAUCACUCACUGGUAAGAUUUGGAUUUACAGUGACAGCUCCCCUCCACAGGGGUGGGGGACCCAUUGGGAUGGNC
rnacentral:lncRNA from 1 species